rfam:Salmo salar isolate Sally breed double haploid chromosome ssa04, whole genome shotgun sequence.
UGCAUUCACUAUUGUAAGUCGCUCUGGAUAAGAGCGUCUGCUAAAUGACUCAAA